CAGUCGCCGCGGUAACACGUAGGUGGCGAGCGUUGUCCGGAUUUAUUGGGCGUAAAGGGAGUGUAGGCGGUCUUUUAAGUCUGAUGUGAAAGCCCACGGCUCAACCGUGGAGGGUCAUUGGAAACUGGGAGACUUGAGUGCAGAAGAGGAGAGCGGAAUUCCAUGUGUAGCGGUGAAAUGCGUAGAUAUAUGGAGGAACACCAGUGGCGAAGGCGGCUCUCUGGUCUGUAACUGACGCUGAGGCUCGAAAGCGUGGGGAGCAAACAGGAUUAGAUACCCGUGUAGUCCCUGUCUCUUAUAC
rnacentral:rRNA from 1 species